rnacentral:rRNA from 1 species
UUAGAGUUUGAUCCUGGCUCAAAAGGACCCCUUGGGGGGUGGAUAAGACAUGCAAGUCGAACGAGAGAAUUGCUAGCUUGCUAAUAAUUCUCUAGUGGCGCACGGGUGAGUAACACGUGAGUAACCUGCCCCCGAGAGCGGGAUAGCCCUGGGAAACUGGGAUUAAUACCGCAUAGUAUCGAAAGAUUAAAGCAGCAAUGCGCUUGGGGAUGGGCUCGCGGCCUAUUAGUUAGUUGGUGAGGUAACGGCUCACCAAGGCGAUGACGGGUAGCCGGUCUGAGAGGAUGUCCGGCCACACUGGAACUGAGACACGGUCCAGACACCUACGGGUGGCAGCAGUCGAGAAUCAUUCACAAUGGGGGAAACCCUGAUGGUGCGACGCCGCGUGGGGGAAUGAAGGUCUUCGGAUUGUAAACCCCUGUCAUGUGGGAGCAAAUUAAAAAGAUAGUACCACAAGAGGAAGAGACGGCUAACUCUGUGCCAGCAGCCGCGGUAAUACAGAGGUCUCAAGCGUUGUUCGGAAUCACUGGGCGUAAAGCGUGCGUAGGCUGUUUCGUAAGUCGUGUGUGAAAGGCGCGGGCUCAACCCGCGGACGGCACAUGAUACUGCGAGACUAGAGUAAUGGAGGGGGAACCGGAAUUUUCUGUGUAGCAGUGAAAAGCGUAGAUAUCGAGAGGAACACUCAUGGCGAAGGCGGGUUCCCGGACAUUAACUGACGCUGAGGCAUGAAGACCAGGGGAGCGAAACAAAUUAGAUUACCCCUGUUAGUCCUGGCCAGUAAACGGGGGCACGCCUUGGUGGCGGGGGAUUCGACCCCCUGCGUGCCGGAGCUAACGCGUUAAGCGUGCCGCCUGGGGAGUAUGGUCGCAAGAUUAAAACUCAAAGAAAUUGACGGGGACCCGCACAAGCGGUGGAGUAUGUGGCUUAAUUCGAUGCAACGCGAAGAACCUUACCUGGGCUUGACAUGUAAUGAACAACAUGUGAAAGCAUGCGACUCUUCGGAGGCGUUACACAGGUGCUGCAUGGCCGUCGUCAGCUCGUGUCGUGAGAUGUUUGGUUAAGUCCAGCAACGAGCGCAACCCCUGUUGCCAGUUACCAGCACGUGAAGGUGGGGACUCUGGCGAGACUGCCCAGAUCAACUGGGAGGAAGGUGGGGACGACGUCAGGUCAGUAUGGCCCUUAUGCCCAGGGCUGCACACGUACUACAAUGCCCAGUACAGAGGGGGCCGAAGCCGCGAGGCGGAGGAAAUCCUAAAAACUGGGCCCAGUUCGGACUGUAGGCUGCAACCCGCCUACACGAAGCCGGAAUCGCUAGUAAUGGCGCAUCAGCUACGGCGCCGUGAAUACGUUCCCGGGUCUUGCACA